AAAUUGAAGAGUUUGAUCAUGGCUCAGAUUGAACGCUGGCGGCAGGCCUAACACAUGCAAGUCGAACGGUAACAGGAAGCAGCUUGCUGCUUUGCUGACGAGUGGCGGACGGGUGAGUAAUGUCUGGGAAACUGCCUGAUGGAGGGGGAUAACUACUGGAAACGGUGGCUAAUACCGCAUAACGUCGCAAGACCAAAGAGGGGGACCUUCGGGCCUCUUGCCAUCAGAUGUGCCCAGAUGGGAUUAGCUUGUUGGUGAGGUAACGGCUCACCAAGGCGACGAUCCCUAGCUGGUCUGAGAGGAUGACCAGCCACACUGGAACUGAGACACGGUCCAGACUCCUACGGGAGGCAGCAGUGGGGAAUAUUGCACAAUGGGCGCAAGCCUGAUGCAGCCAUGCCGCGUGUAUGAAGAAGGCCUUCGGGUUGUAAAGUACUUUCAGCGGGGAGGAAGGUGUUGUGGUUAAUAACCGCAGCAAUUGACGUUACCCGCAGAAGAAGCACCGGCUAACUCCGUGCCAGCAGCCGCGGUAAUACGGAGGGUGCAAGCGUUAAUCGGAAUUACUGCGUAAAGCGCACGCAGGCGGUCUGUCAAGUCGGAUGUGAAAUCCCCGGGCUCAACCUGGGAACUGCAUUCGAAACUGGCAGGCUUGAGUCUUGUAGAGGGGGGUAGAAUUCCAGGUGUAGCGGUGAAAUGCGUAGAGAUCUGGAGGAAUACCGGUGGCGAAGGCGGCCCCCUGGACAAAGACUGACGCUCAGGUGCGAAAGCGUGGGGAGCAAACAGGAUUAGAUACCCUGGUAGUCCACGCCGUAAACGAUGUCUACUUGGAGGUUGUGCCCUUGAGGCGUGGCUUCCGGAGCUAACGCGUUAAGUAGACCGCCUGGGGAGUACGGCCGCAAGGUUAAAACUCAAAUGAAUUGACGGGGGCCCGCACAAGCGGUGGAGCAUGUGGUUUAAUUCGAUGCAACGCGAAGAACCUUACCUGGUCUUGACAUCCACAGAAGAAUCACAGAUGGAUUUGUGCCUUCGGGAACUGUGAGACAGGUGCUGCAUGGCUGUCGUCAGCUCGUGUUGUGAAAUGUUGGGUUAAGUCCCGCAACGAGCGCAACCCUUAUCCUUUGUUGCCAGCGGUCCGGCCGGGAACUCAAAGGAGACUGCCAGUGAUAAACUGGAGGAAGGUGGGGAUGACGUCAAGUCAUCAUGGCCCUUACGACCAGGGCUACACACGUGCUACAAUGGCGCAUACAAAGAGAAGCGACCUCGCGAGAGCAAGCGGACCUCAUAAAGUGCGUCGUAGUCCGGAUUGGAGUCUGCAACUCGACUCCAUGAAGUCGGAAUCGCUAGUAAUCGUGGAUCAGAAUGCCACGGUGAAUACGUUCCCGGGCCUUGUACACACCGCCCGUCACACCAUGGGAGUGGGUUGCAAAAGAAGUAGGUAGCUUAACCUUCGGGAGGGCGCUUACCACUUUGUGAUUCAUGACUGGGGUGAAGUCGUAACAAGGUAACCGUAGGGGAACCUGCGGUUGGAUCACCUCCUUACCUU
rnacentral:rRNA from 1 species